CCUGCACUUUGUACACACCACCUGUCGCUUCUACCGAUUGAAUGGUCUGAUGAAGUGUUCGGACUACGGCUUGUGGGCAGUUCACCGCCAGUUAGUCACAAGAAGUCUGCUAAGCCUUAUCAUUUAGAGGAAGGAGAAGUUGUAACAAGGUUUCCACAGGUGAACCUGAGGAAAGAUCAUUG
rnacentral:rRNA from 1 species